UACGUAGGGACCGAGCGUUGUCCGGAUUUAUUGGGCGUAAAGAGCUCGUAGGCAGUUCCGUAAGUCGGAUGUGAAAACUCAGGGCUCAACCCGGAGACGCCAUCUGAUACUGCGGUGACUGGAGUCUGGUAGGGGAUCACGGAAUACCUGGUGUAGCGGUGAAAUGCGCAGAUAUCAGGAGGAACACCAAUUGCGAAGGCAGCUCGCUGGGACGUUACUGACGCUGAGACGCGAAAGCGUGGGGAGCAAACAGG
rnacentral:rRNA from 1 species